CGUUAGCGGCGGACGGGUGAGUAACACGUGGGUAACCCACCUAUAAGACUGGGAUAACUUCGGGAAACCGGAGCUAAUACCGGAUAAUAUUUCGAACCGCAUGGUUCGAUAGUGAAAGAUGGUUUUGCUAUCACUUAUAGAUGGACCCGCGCCGUAUUAGCUAGUUGGUAAGGUAACGGCUUACCAAGGCGACGAUACGUAGCCGACCUGAGAGGGUGAUCGGCCACACUGGAACUGAGACACGGUCCAGACUCCUACGGGAGGCAGCAGCA
rnacentral:rRNA from 1 species